UGGGGGAUAUUGCACAAUGGGCGAAAGCCUGAUGCAGCGACGCCGCGUGGGGGAUGAAGGCCUUCGGGUUGUAAAUUUUUUUUGCUCGGAACAAGGCAUGCUAAUGGGUGUGUUGAGUGUAGGGGUUGAUUAGCGCCGGCUAACUACGUGCCAGCAGCCGCGGUAAUACGUAGGGCGCGAGCGUUGUCCGGAAUUAUUGGGCGUAAAGGGCUUGUAGGUGGCUGGUUGCGUCUGUCGUGAAAGCUCAUGGCUUAACUGUGGGUUUGCGGUGGGUACGGGCUGGCUUGAGUGCAGUAGGGGAGGCUGGAAUUCCUGGUGUAGCGGUGGAAUGCGCAGAUAUCAGGAGGAAUACCGGUGGCGAAGGCGGGUCUCUGGGCUGUUACUGACACUGAGGAGCGAAAGCAUGGGGAGCGAACAGG
rnacentral:rRNA from 1 species